rnacentral:miRNA from 1 species
GAAUCCUGAUGAUGCUGCAU